rnacentral:misc_RNA from 1 species
CUAUGUUCAGAUUAGGAAGUAGAAAU